rnacentral:tRNA from 1 species
GCCCUUGUAGCUCAGUGGGUAGGGCACUGGCCACAUACACCCAGGCUGGUGGGUUUGAACCCCACCUGGGCCA